rnacentral:SRP_RNA from 1 species
AGGGGGUUAACCGUCUUAGCCGGGGGAACCCGGCUAGGCCCGGAAGGGAGCAACCUAACCCUGGACGCCAGCGUUCAUGGGUCAGCGGGGUUGAA